GUGGGGAAUAUUGGACAAUGGGCGCAAGCCUGAUCCAGCAAUGCCGCGUGUGUGAAGAAGGCCUGCGGGUUGUAAAGCACUUUCAGUAGAGAAGAAAAGCUUACGGUUAAUACCCGUGAGUCUUGACGUAACCUACAGAAGAAGCACCGGCUAACUCCGUGCCAGCAGCCGCGGUAAUACGGAGGGUGCAAGCGUUAAUCGGAAUUACUGGGCGUAAAGCGCGCGUAGGCGGUUUAGUCAGUCGGAUGUGAAAGCCCAGGGCUCAACCUUGGAAUUGCAUUCGAUACUGCUUGACUAGAGUAUGGUAGAGGGAAGUGGAAUUUCCGGUGUAGCGGUGAAAUGCGUAGAUAUCGGAAGGAACACCAGUGGCGAAGGCGACUUCCUGGGCCAAUACUGACGCUGAGGUGCGAAAGCGUGGGGAGCAAACAGG
rnacentral:rRNA from 1 species